GUGUACGGCCAUACCACCCUGAACAAGCCCGAUCUUGUCUGAUCUUGGAAGCUAAGCAGGGUCGAAUCUGGUUAGUACUUGGAUGGGAGAUCACCAAAAAAAAGAAGAAGAAGAAGAAG
rnacentral:rRNA from 1 species